AGACGGAGGAGGCUAGCGUUGUUCGGAAUUACUGGGCGUAAAGCGUACGCAGGCGGUUGAUCAAGUCAGGUGUGAAAGCCCGGGGCUCAACCUCGGAAUUGCGCCUGAGACUGGUCAGCUAGAGUUCGGAAGAGGAGAGUGGAAUUCCCAGUGUAGAGGUGAAAUUCGUAGAUAUUGGGAAGAACACCAGUGGCGAAGGCGACUCUCUGGUCCGAUACUGACGCUGAGACACGAAAGCGU
rnacentral:rRNA from 1 species